GGUACAACAGUUGCUAGAAAUUGUCGUAGAAAAUGAACCUGAGGUUGUGGACCUUCCUAUGGAAGUUAAAAAAGAGCUGCUGUUAAAUUUGAACGAAAUUUCAUCAUCAGUAGACCUUCCUGAGGACUGGGAAGGUGCAACACCAGAGCAACUAUUGUUGCAGUUGGCAUCUGCUUGGGAUAUUGAUCUGCAAGAGCUGGAGAAGUAAACUGAAGUUAAUGUCUCGUGAAUUUUCU
rnacentral:misc_RNA from 1 species